AAAGCAGGAGGGGGGAUGCAGGAGUUUUAACUUCCAGACAUGUGUGAGUUUAGUUUUUCCUGGCUUAGAAGGAGUUUUCCUCUGUGGGAUGUGGAUUCUUGUGGCGUUGCUCAGUUUAACUUUUCUGGAGUUACAGAGUGACACAGCAAUUCCACAAAAAUGAAAGAAAGUUCUGGUACUGCAGAGAUGCCAAAGAAUGACUGUGGAUGUGUUUUAAUGUGUUGUACAGUAUGAGUGGGAGCUUACACAGUCCUGCUGCUGUAGUUUGCUGUAGUGUGAAGAAAAAUCUUUACACUAAUACUGUUUUUAAAGUGCCCAUAUUAUGAAAGAAAAUACUUUUUCUGGGAUUUGAGUUUUUAGUUUGUGUCUCUCGUGCUUCCACACACACACACACACACACACACACACACACACACACACACACACACACACACACACACACAGAAAUUUUAUGAAU